UUUCUUUUCCUCCUUCCUCCUGUAGUGUUCCCAUCUUCCGUUCUGCUGCUGCGGCUCCCGUGCCCCGCGGUCGAAGAUUUCCAGCAUGAAAGCCGUUGGGAGUCUCCCGAAUCGAAGGGUGAGAACGGACGGAGGGGGCACUGUGCCAGAUGCUCGUGAUCUAGAGGACUUUCUGGCCUUGAAGCAGCUCCUGAGGCCAAAAGAAUUCGGUAUCCAGUGGAAGUGGUGAGCAUUUAGGUAUAGACAGGAAUUAUGUUCUUCCCGACAUUGGAAAGGGAUAACCUGAAAUUCUGAAGAUAAUGAAUAUGCAGGUGAAGUGGAUUAAAAUGAAUAAAGCUGGAUAUAAUAUAACUUCAUGAAGAAAAUCAUCUGUUCAGAAUUUGAUCCAAGAGUUCUGGAGUGUGUAGUCACAGCUGAACUUUGACACUGUUGUGACAUUUUCUCCUGCUUUAUCUACAAAAUGAGAUUUGAUUAGAUGACCCAAGGUCCCUUCCAGCUCUGUUAAUUUAUAUACUAGAAAAAGGUUGUGACUUGAGACCACCUCAUGUUUGGAGUUUCAGCAUUAAAGUUCAGUACAUUGCAGUUUUUGGAACGUUCAUUUCUGCAGAUGCACAACUAAAGGAUUGUUUUGUAAUUCUGUUCAGAUGCCCUCUGCAUUUGAGUCCCAGUCUCUCCAGUCAGCUCAUCAGCUUCUGAUUAGGCUUGUGUAAAACCAGUUUUUCAUUCAAUUUAGUAAAUUUCCAAAGCCUUCUUAAUUUAGGAAGUGAAUUUUCUUAAAUACUGUUUUGGAUUUGAGUCUGGCUAACCAGAGUAUGACUUCUUCAACAUUUGCCAUCUUCAGUCAAACAAAAAGUUAAAAAUAAAAGUAUUUAAAAAGAAA